GCCAUGCCGCGUGCAGGAUGACGGUCCUAUGGAUUGUAAACUGCUUUUGUACGGGAAGAAACACUCCUUCGUGAAGGAGCUUGACGGUACCGUAAGAAUAAGGAUCGGCUAACUCCGUGCCAGCAGCCGCGGUAAUACGGAGGAUCCAAGCGUUAUCCGGAAUCAUUGGGUUUAAAGGGUCCGUAGGCGGUCUGGUAAGUCAGUGGUGAAAGCCCAUCGCUCAACGGUGGAACGGCCAUUGAUACUGCUGGACUUGAAUUACUGGGAAGCAACUAGAAUAUGUAGUGUAGCGGUGAAAUGCUUAAAGAUUACAUGGAAUACCAAUUGCGAAGGCGGGUUGCUACCAGUGGAUUGACGCUAAUGGACGAAAGCGUGGGUAGCGAACAGGAUUAGAUACCCUGGUAGUCCACGCCGUACACGAUGGAUACUAACUGUUGGGAGCAAUCUCAGUGGCUAAUCGAAAGUGAUAAGUAUCCCACCUGGGGAGUACGUUCGCAAGAAUGAAACUCAAAGGAAUUGACGGGGGCCCGCACAAGCGGUGGAGCAUGUGGUUUAAUUCUAUGAUACGCGAGGAACCUUACCAAGGCUUAAAUGCAGACUGACCGAUUUGGAAACAGAUCUCUC
rnacentral:rRNA from 1 species